rnacentral:rRNA from 1 species
UCAAGUAAUUAAGUGCAUGUGGUGGAUGCCUUGGCAGUCAGAGGCGAUGAAAGACGUGAUAGCCUGCGAAAAGCUCCGGGGAGGCGGCAAAUAUCCUUUGAUCCGGAGAUGUCUGAAUGGGGGAACCCACCUACUUUAAGGUAGGUAUUGCAACAUGAAUACAUAGUGUUGCAAGGCGAACGAGGGGAAGUGAAACAUCUCAGUACCCUUAGGAAAAGAAAUCAAUUGAGAUUCCCUCAGUAGCGGCGAGCGAACGGGGAUCAGCCCAUUAAGUUAUGUGUGUUUUAGUGGAACGCUCUGGGAAGUGCGAACGUAGAGGGUGAUAUUCCCGUACACGAAAGGGCACACAUAAUGAUGACGAGUAGGGCGAGGCACGUGAAACCUUGUCUGAAUAUGGGGGGACCAUCCUCCAAGGCUAAAUACUCCUGACUGACCGAUAGUGAACCAGUACCGUGAGGGAAAGGCGAAAAGAACCCCUGUGAGGGGAGUGAAAUAGAUCCUGAAACCGCAUGCAUACAAGCAGUGGGAGCACCUUCGUGGUGUGACUGCGUACCUUUUGUAUAAUGGGUCAGCGACUUAUAUUCAGUAGCGAGGUUAACCGUAUAGGGGAGCCGUAGAGAAAUCGAGUCUUAAUAGGGCGUUUAGUUGCUGGGUAUAGACCCGAAACCAGGCGAUCUAUCCAUGAGCAGGUUGAAGGUUGGGUAACACUAACUGGAGGACCGAACCCACUGUCGUUGAAAAGCCAGGGGAUGACUUGUGGAUAGGGGUGAAAGGCUAAUCAAGCCUGGUGAUAGCUGGUUCUCCCCGAAAGCUAUUUAGGUAGCGCCUCGGACGAAUACCAUAGGGGGUAGAGCACUGUUUCGGCUAGGGGGUCAUCCCGACUUACCAAACCGAUGCAAACUCCGAAUACCUAUGAGUACUAUCCGGGAGACAGACUGCGGGUGCUAACGUCCGUAGUCAAGAGGAAAACAAUCCAGACCGCCAGCUAAGGCCCCAAAAUCAUAGUUAAGUGGGAAACGAUGUGGGAAGGCAUAGACAGCUAGGAGGUUGGCUUAGAAGCAGCCACCCUUUAAAGAAAGCGUAAUAGCUCACUAGUCGAGUCGGCCUGCGCGGAAGAUGUAACGGGGCUAAAACUAUGUGCCGAAGCUGCGGAUGUAUACUUUGUAUACGUGGUAGGGGAGCGUUCUGUAAGCCGAUGAAGGUGUGUUGAGAAGCAUGCUGGAGGUAUCAGAAGUGCGAAUGCUGACGUGAGUAACGACAAAACGGGUGAAAAACCCGUUCGCCGAAAGACCAAGGGUUCCAGUCCAACGUUAAUCGGGGCUGGGUGAGUCGACCCCUAAGGCGAGGCCGAAAGGCGUAGUCGAUGGGAAAAUGGUUAAUAUUCCAUUACUUCUGUGUAAUGCGAUGAGAGGACGGAGAAGGCUAAAUCAGCCUGGCGUUGGUUGUCCAGGUGAAAGGAUGUAGGCAUGUAUCUUAGGCAAAUCCGGGGUACUCUAUGCUGAGAUCUGAUAGCAAGCUGUACUUGUACAGCGAAGUGGUUGAUGCCAUGCUUCCAGGAAAAGUCUCUAAGCUUCAGUUACACAGGAAUCGUACCCGAAACCGACACAGGUGGUCAGGUCGAGUAGACCAAGGCGCUUGAGAGAACUCUGCUGAAGGAACUAGGCAAAAUGGUACCGUAACUUCGGGAGAAGGUACGCUGUUGUUGGUGAUGGAACUCGCUUCCUGAGCUGACGACAGCCGCAGAAACCAGGCCGCUGCAACUGUUUAUUAAAAACAUAGCACUCUGCAAACACGAAAGUGGACGUAUAGGGUGUGAUGCCUGCCCGGUGCUGGAAGGUUAAUUGAUGGGGUUAGCGUAAGCGAAGCUCUUGAUCGAAGCCCCAGUAAACGGCGGCCGUAACUAUAACGGUCCUAAGGUAGCGAAAUUCCUUGUCGGGUAAGUUCCGACCUGCACGAAUGGCAUAAUGAUGGCGGCGCUGUCUCCAGCAGAGGCUCAGUGAAAUCGAAAUCGCUGUGAAGAUGCAGUGUACCCGCGGCUAGACGGAAAGACCCCGUGAACCUUUACUGCAGCUUGACACUGAACUUUGACCUUACUUGUGUAGGAUAGGUGGGAGGCUUUGAAGCUGGAACGCUAGUUCCAGUGGAGCCGUCCUUGAAAUACCACCCUGGUAAUGUUGAGGUUCUAACUCUGUCCCGUGAUCCGGGACGAGGACCGUGUCUGGUGGGUAGUUUGACUGGGGCGGUCUCCUCCUAAAGAGUAACGGAGGAGUACGAAGGUGCGC